UACAGAGGUCUCGAGCGUUGUUCGGAUUCAUUGGGCGUAAAGGGUGCGUAGGUGGCGCCGUAAGUCGGGUGUGAAAUUUCGGAGCUUAACUCCGAAACUGCAUUCGAUACUGCGGUGCUUGAGGACUGGAGAGGAGACUGGAAUUCAUGGUGUAGCAGUGAAAUGCGUAGAGAUCAUGAGGAAGACCAGUGGCGAAGGCGGGUCUCUGGGCAUUAACUGACGCUGAGGAGCGAAAGCAUGGGGAGCGAACAGG
rnacentral:rRNA from 1 species